rnacentral:rRNA from 1 species
GCGCACGGGUGAGUAACACGUGGGUAAUCUGCCCUGGAGUGGGGAAUAACACCGGGAAACCGGUGCUAAUACCGCAUACGAUCACGGAGUCUGCGGAUUUUGUGAUGAAAGGAGCAAUUCGCUCUAGGAGGAGCCCGCGGCUGAUUAGCUAGUUGGUGAGGUAAUGGCUCACCAAGGCAACGAUCAGUAUCCGGUCUGAGAGGACGGUCGGACACACUGGAACUGAGACACGGUCCAGACUCCUACGGGAGGCAGCAGUGGGGAAUUUUUGGCAAUGGGGCAACCCUGACCAAGCAACGCCGCGUGGGUGAUGAAGUCUCUUGGGACGUAAAACCCUUUCGAUGGGGACGAAACCGCAAGGUUGACGGUACCCGUAGAAGAAGCCCCGGCUAACUCCGUGCCAGCAGCCGCGGUAAUACGGGGGGGGCAAGCGUUGUUCGGAAUUACUGGGCGUAAAGGGCGCGUAGGCGGUGCUCUAAGUCGGAUGUGAAAACUCUGGGCUCAACCCAGAGCCUGCAUCCGAAACUGGAGUGCUAGAGUUCUGGAGGGGGUAGCGGAAUUCCUGGUGUAGCGGUGAAAUGCGU